GGGAUUUCGUGGCUCCAGGCGGCGCAGCGGCUGUCGGCUCCCCGCGGACGCGUCGUGACGCUGAGAGAGGGUCGGCCGCCGGGCGGCGAGGGGACCAUAGAGCUGCUCCGGAAAAAGGCGCUGCGCCCGCGGCCGCUCCUCCCGCGGGGAGGCGGAGACGCUCCCGGCCCUUUAUGAUGUGUGUUUACAUGCGCGGAGGGAUCCACCCAGCUGACAGCGGCGCCGCGCCGGUCCUUCUUUUUUUAAAGAGCCCGGCCGCGGGCGCUGAUUGGCCGGCCGGCGUGGGCGCUGAUUGGCCGGACGGCGCGGCGCUUGGGGGCGGGGCACGCGCCUCAUUGUCUGCUCAGCGGCCGCAGGGCUCCCCAGUGGCUGUGCUGCGCUCUCGGUCGGAGGUCCGGGUCUCUGGGCAGCUGGCCGCGAGGCAGGGGUGGGCCGGCGUCGCGGCCGCGUCCGGUGCCGCGGCCGGUGGGUGGCAGUCCCGGCGGCCGGAGCGUAACCGAGCCCUGUCCGGGUGCCACGUGUCCAGGAACCCCUCCUCACCCGGGACGACACCCCGCCCCGCCGGGCUCCUUCUCCAGCCGCCGCCUGUGUGCGGCCCCGGAGCCUCGCACACGUCCCUGGGGUCUCUAUCCUCCUCCUGCCCGCUCAGCCCCCAGGCCUCCCGAACAGCCUGCCCGACCCCACCCGGCCCGCGCCCCUGGCUCUGCAUCCUGCACCCCGGGCCGGCCGCCCGGUGAUGGGGCGCCGCCGCGUUCCUUCCGGGCGCCGCAGACUCGCAAACUGGGGGGGCGACCUGGUCCCGCGCCCACCUCCGGACUGGGCUCCAGGAGUGGGGAGGCCGGCUCCCCGGCGGCCGCGAAGGGGGCGGCCCGCGCGGCACGUAGCGCACGUGGAGGGCACCUCCCGCCCCAAGGCCGCCGCCGCCUCCGGCUGCUUUCCUGGCGCGGGGGGUGGGCGUGCGUCUGCCCUCCGCGCGGCCCCCGGUCUCUGCGAGCGUCCCUUGCACAGCGCUCGUCCCUCCCCAACGCUGCUGGACCUCCUCUCUCCUCUCCUUUCCCCUAAUUUCACCGACGCACAGGCCUCUCCUUAGCCUCCUCACGAUCCAGCUCGGCCCCUCCCUCUAGUCCACUGUCGUCCUCUCCCACCCCUUUGGGGGCCCGAAUGCUUGGUGUCAGAUGUCCCCUGUGGAGACAGACCCACAGACCUUGAGAUCUCAGGAUGAGCUGCCGCCUUGGUGGUCUCCGUGUUUUGCUUUAUUUUGUGCACUCCCACGGCGUCUCUCUAUUCCUGUUCCUUUAACCAGGCAUUUGUCUUUUUCCACUGCCGUCCCUGCCCUCGUGCCCUACACAGGCAAGGGUCCCCACCGGAUUGUAAACCGCUGCAGGGAGGGAGUCACGGCCUCCAGCCCGGGACCAGGCACGUGGAAGGAGCUCCACACGUUUGUUGAAGGGGAAGGGAAAUGGCUUUUAGUGUCUGUGGCUCUGUCUGGCCGAGGAUGGAGUUUUGGACCGGACAAGGAGAAGAAUCUGGUUGCCCAGGGCUGGGCCACUUUGGAGGUUCUGGACUCUGCUGGGAAAAGGUGAGAGGCAGAGAGAAGAACUCAAGUUCCUUGUUCACACUGCAGCCGCCACCGUCACCCCUAAGGAAGGUCUCUGGACUGAGGACCCCUCUCAGCAUGCUCUAGGGCCUUGGAUGGUUGGAAUGUUUGAAAUUCUCUGCAUCCAGGAUGAAAGUCUUGCAACAGGAAUAAAAGGACUUCUACACUAAUUAUAUCUGAACUUCCCAGAGCACUCCCGAAUCCACCGUGCUCGUUUGAAAUCCAGCGUUCAACCAAAUCCUGUCACACGUCCGGCACAGGGUCUGACACAAAAUCCUAACGCUGAGUCCCUUUCUUCUCUCCCCUGGCAGGAAGGGAUGCUACCUGCGCACCUAGAGAUACUGUGCGACCAGGAAUAGGACCACGCCAGUGGCUGGGGAGUAAUUCAUAGUCUAUGGGACAUACCAACCCCGUGAAGUAGAUGGGUGAUACUGUCGCCAUUUUUCAAAUGGAGAAACUGAGACUCAGAAGAGUUUAUUAGGCAAAAUCACACAGGUAACAACAGAGCUAGGACUGGAAUGGGAACACUGGAGCCUGUGAUCUUCCCUAAACACCAAGCUGAGGAAAGAGAACAUGGAAACCCCAUCCCAAAUCUGACCACCAGCUGGCCCUGCAGCUGCCAACAUGUGUCCAUUCUCUCCCCUCUAAGCCACGCUGGUUUCACACUUUCUGGACUGUCAUCUAUAGUACCUUCACUUACAUUCUAACGGUUUCACAAAACAAUACUUGCCCUUAUACAGUGACGCAUGUGCCGGUUGAGACUCAUGAGGUUGGCUUUGUAACCUAUUAUGGAUUCUGACCCUCAGUUGGAGAAAUGCUGCUUGGAGGUUAGUUUUUCCUGUUGUUUGCUAGCUUUCAAGAAGAUGGAGCUGCAGUAGUUUCUUCACACCCACCUCAGCUCAAGGUUUAACCAUUGCUCCUUGCCAUGUCUUCCCUACAUCCUCCAGAACGCUGUCCACAUCACAUACAAGAUCAAUCCCUAUUGCUUAUCUCUCCGGUCUGUUUUGUACUGUUGAUUAUUCACUUGGCUGCAAUCUUCUAUUCAUUUCCCUCCUACCUCUGCCCACAGCCCUUCAACUCAAGGGGUCACUUUGUGCCCCAUCUUUUCAGGUGCCCAGUAUAAGACCAGGACCUAGCAUAGUCUUCAAGUCUCCCAAGACCUGACUUAGAGCAAAGGCCAAAGACUCAAUGCCUUCAGGGGACAGAAAUAAAUGAGAGAAACCAGCCAGGUGGACUCUGAAGAAGAGAAUGCACGUCCGGCGACCGGGGCCACCACUGCUCAGGCCAGGGUGGCAGCAAGUUGCAAUUUUCCAGAGAAGCCAGAAGUCUAAUUAUUUAUGCAAUCUCUCCUAAUUUUUAGAUGUUCAAUCUUCAAUCAAAUUUCUAAAAAACAGUGUGUGGCCCAACCAGACGUGCUUGUGGUCCGAGUGUGUUCUGCGUGGAGCCACCUCCCUGGAGAGGCUGGUGGGAUGAUGAGUUUGCUGACCUUCCGGGAGAACAAUGGUUACCAAGGGAGCACCAGAGAGAGAUGCUGAGGGCUGGAGGUGAGCUCCUGCCCAUCUCCCCACCUCCCUGCCGGGGCUCGAGUUCAUGCUUCUAGGCUGGAAGGAGAGCUCUACCUUGCAGCAAAGUCUGGAGCCCACACCUGGGACACACCAUGGCAACAGGUACAGCAUCUCAGAUGGCUCACCCUGAUCUGCGCUGCUGCCGAGGGACCUGCCAGGGCUUGUUUAGUAUUUAUUUUCAUUUUACAUCCACUGUGCUUCAAUUAAAAAAUACCUAUUUUCCCCUCUUCCUCCACUGUUUGCCCCCUCUAAGGCCCUCAGAGGAGUGCGAAUGAGGUGCCAAGAUGCAGAAGUGUUCUCAAAGUGC